CAGCAGCCGCGGUAAUACAGAGGAUGCAAGCGUUAUCCGGAAUGAUUGGGCGUAAAGCGUCUGUAGGUGGCUUUUCAAGUCCGCCGUCAAAUCCCAGGGCUCAACCCUGGACAGGCGGUGGAAACUACCAAGCUGGAGUACGGUAGGGGCAGAGGGAAUUUCUGGUGGAGCGGUGAAAUGCGUUGAGAUCGGAAAGAACACCAACGGUGAAAGCACUCUGCUGGGCCGGCACUGACACUGAGAGACGAAAGCUAGGGGAGCAAAUGGGAUUAGAUACCCCGGUAGUCCCUGUCUCUUAUAA
rnacentral:rRNA from 1 species